GUCGCGCAACCAUUGCGCAUCCCGCUGGCUAACUCGAUCCUUUCACCGGUAGCCUUCAACCAUCGAAAACAUGAAGACCCGCGAUGGUUGGAGAAGCUUGUCAACAUGCAUGUCGACAAGUAGAUCUAGGCACCCGACGACGAGCUCAGCAGCCACAUAUGCGGCUGCUACGCACGGCUCGUAUGUAAUGCCGGUGACAAAUCACGCGACGCCCAUCAUUGGGCGUACUCGGGCUGAACAUGGCCGCAGAAAUCGUGUUC
rnacentral:lncRNA from 1 species